GGGGCUGUAUCUCAGUGGUAGAGUCUCUGCUUCGCAUGCAGAAGGUCCCAGGUUCAAUCCCCGGCAGCACCU